rnacentral:tRNA from 1 species
GACCUCUUAGCUCAGUGGUAGAGCAUGCGAUUCCAGUCCGCAAGGCCGUCCGUUCAAUCCGGGCAGAGGUCA